rnacentral:rRNA from 1 species
GAGUAUGGCCAUACCACCUUGAACGCGCCUGAUCUUGUCUGAUCUUGGAAGCUAAGCAGGGUCGUCUCUGACUAGUACUUGGAUGGGAGGAAUAGAUCUUGAAUUUUAUAAAGAGCACUCAGACAUCUGUUUUUA